GAUGAACGCUGGCGGCGUGCCUAAUACAUGCAAGUCGAGCGAACAGAUGAGGAGCUUGCUCCUCUGACGUUAGCGGCGGACGGGUGAGUAACACGUGGAUAACCUACCUAUAAGACUGGGAUAACUUCGGGAAACCGGAGCUAAUACCGGAUAAUAUAUUGAACCGCAUGGUUCAAUAGUGAAAGACGGUUUUGCUGUCACUUAUAGAUGGAUCCGCGCCGCAUUAGCUAGUUGGUAAGGUAACGGCUUAUCAAGGCGACGAUGCGUAGCCGACCUGAGAGGGUGAUCGGCCACACUGGAACUGAGACACGGUCCAGACUCCUACGGGAGGCAGCAGUAGGGAAUCUUCCGCAAAGGGCGAAAGCCUGACGGAGCAACGCCGCGUGAGUGAUGAAGGUCUUCGGAUCGUAAAACUCUGUUAUUAGGGAAGAACAAAUGUGUAAGUAACUAUGCACGUCUUGACGGUACCUAAUCAGAAAGCCACGGCUAACUACGUG
rnacentral:rRNA from 1 species